UGUGUUUCCUGCAAUGUCCAGGAUUAACGGUGGCUACGUUUUGUUAUCUGCAAUUCUUCCCUCCUCCGUACGAUCCAGAUGGUUGGGGAACUCAUGCGUACUUCCAGAUGCUUGCAGACUCGAGAAACGAUGUCCAAAAUUCAGCAGGAAUGAAUCAUCUAAGCGUGAGGCAGACAGAACUGGAGAACGUGUACGUUGAUCGAGAUGAGACCUCCGUGGAAUUACCAAGAAGCAGCAACACGCGAGACACAACCCGUAUGCUUGAGAACCGCUAAGUGAAGGGAGAGUCUUGUACUUCAAUUGUAUCAGUCUUAGUUGUGUAUUUUGGGUUAGGCAUUAAUACUUCUAAUCACAAAGACCAAUAAUUGUUGGAA